GGUUAACAAUGCAGGUAUUUCUACAAUUUAAAAAAGAAAGGGUAGAAGUGACCAUAGCUGAGAGCUGGCAUCAGCUUGGUUCUUACCUUUCAAGAGAUUACAUUGCAAUUGGUCCUAUUUCUGUUGAUUUGAGCACUGCAGCUUGUCUGUCAGAAGUUCAUAUUGUACCAUUUAAGUACGAAGAAUGCACCUUCUCCUAGCAAUGGAGUGGAAAUUAACCAAUCUGAGCGUUUUCAGGUGAAGGAAGUGAAUCUAUCCUUUGAUGUCAAAGGCCAGAAGUAGUUUCAGAAGAAUAAAGCAAGAUACAUAACCAAAGCUUCUGAGGUUACAGAAGUAUUGACUUGUUCCAAUCUAGAAUAAGGAAACCACUUAUACCUACUAGAUUUUUAGCAGUACAGCUGAUUGUAUGGAGAGAAAGAGAGAAACCAAUCCAGCAAUUCAUCACGCAGAAGGAGGUCAUAUUUCGAGAUGCAAGGAUGACACAUGGCUGUCGUUUACAGGAAGGAAUUAGCGGAUCCAUCCUUUUAAGGAGAUGUCAAGAACUAAGUGGAACUGAUCAUUUCUAUCAAGAGGUAAGGAAGGCACCUCCUCAUAGCACGGGGGCAGGAAUUAAAGGCUCUGUUUCUAUUUUCAGGGGAAAUGAAGGUCUUACCAUUCAAGGGAGGAUGAUAAGAGGCUGCUGAAUUGAAGAAAAAAAGACAGGUGAAAGAAAUGCAGCUGAUCUGAUCUCCUGGGGAUUGUGGAUUAUAACUAGUCAUAUUACUGAAGAACAAACAAAUGUAUGUUGCCAGACCUGCAAAAAGUUGCCUUCCUUGUCUAGAAUGGGAAAACAAUCCUUUAUCACCAUCAAGUUUCAAACCCAGAAUUCAGCAGACCACCACUGACAAGGAGGAGAAGAGUUACAGAUGCUCAGGAUUUGAGUACAAAUUAAUAGGAAUGGAGCUGAACAGAUCCAACACUUGAAAGGACGAUUGGAUCUUGUAAGGGACGAAACCAUGAAAAAGACCCUUCAUUCAGUAAAGCAGCAGAAUUGGUUCUGAGGAGAGGUGAAAGAAAGGCAGUGCUUACCAGUCAAGGGAGAAAGAUUCCAAGACAUGGCUGAAUUUAAGAAUGCAGUCAGGUAGGAAAUGAUAAGUGCAGAUGCAAGAAAAGCAUCUUAUGACUCCAGUUUGGGAAAAAGCCAAUUCUGCAUCAUUUAUUAAACAAUGUAGCUGGUUGCACCUCUGAAAAUCACAGCCAGGCAAUGGAAGAUCACUGACAAGGAGGUGAGCAGAGAAGAGCAUGUGGAAGGCAAAUGAAGCACAUUUUGACUGAUGGCUCUGCAUAGCUAGAAAGACAAAUAAAAAUUCUCUGAAACAUUGAUGUUUGCAGGUGAUCAUCACUGAAGAUGUGAGGAGACCAGGUGACCACCCAUGCCAGGAGGAAAUGAGUGAAAGCGACUGUCCUGGGGAAGAGGUAAGAAAUGCCCAAGCUCAGAGCACCCACGUGGACAUUAAUGGACCUUAUUAACUUGCAGGUAGAAGAACCGCUGCUGCUUCACUUGUCAAGGGAAGAAUGUGAGAAGCAGGUGCAGACUUUGCUAACGCAAUGUGCCUGGCCACCUGCUGAAUCCACAGAGGGGACAGAAGAGCAUUCUGCAGCUAUAGUCCUGGGAAUGGAGAGCAGCCCCCUGAGACAGUGCAGCCAGUUGCACUUUCCAGCUGUAAACAUCCCUGCAGAUCAUGGGCCAAGGAGGUGAGAAACACCAUUUCUGUACCAGUCAAGUGGAAAUGAAUGGAUCCUCUCCUACCUUCAGAUGGGAGAGGCGCAUCUGAACACUGAGGAUAUAAAAAACUUGAGGAAGCUCCUAGAAGAGCUGUGAUGGUUCUUAUUGAAAGGAAAAACGUGAAAUUAAUCACUGCUGCCAAGAGGUAAAGAACUCACCUUCUCUUGACUUUCAAGGUUAAGUUCCGGGAUCUAGUUAUUCUUUCAUAUGAAAGAAAUGAAAUUCAUCUUGCAUGCCAGGAGAGAAAUACUGCGCGAGCAACCUGACUGGCCAGGUGAGUGACCCGUUGCAAAGUGAAGAAAGCAUUUUUCAUUGUAGAUAAGGAAUAGUUCAGGAACCUAUGAAAUCUGUUUGGAAGAUUGCAGGUGAAUGUACCUCUGGUCAACUCCCCACAGCCUCGGUGAAUAUUUCUAUAUUGGUUAUUUGCCAAGGGAAUAAGGUUGGGGAAAGCACCAUAAAAAUGUAGGACACCCCAAGAUUGAUUAUAAGUAAUGCUGUGUCAAAAAUUGAUUGUUACAGCUGAUGACACAUCCCAAGAUACGUGAAGAGUUGAGGACCAUAGCAAACAGGGAUUCCUUUUUAUCAGGAGGUAAGGAAUAUACAGUACCUGCUUAUAGCAUCCCAGUGCAAAUCAAAGACUUUGUUUUUUCUUUCGGAGCCUAUGAUAUAUGUCAAGAGGGGAAUGCUGCCAACUAAUUGAGAACAAAGCAAUGUAUGCAGCCAGAGCUGCUGACAUGUAAGAGAAGCAUCCUGUGAGUCUAUUCAUGGAAAAGGAGAGUAGCCACUUAUCCCCAGGAAGUGUUAAACAAUGCAGCUGGUUGCAUCUCUCCAAACAGCCACACUCAGACCGUUCCCGGCACGGAGGUGAGCAUCUAAGGUUCCAUUUUGCCACCUAAAUUAAAUGAAAAAUGAUCAUUUCAGUGAAGAGCCCACCAGAGACACCAAACAAAUCUGUCAGAUAUUGAUCGUUACAGCACAUCGCAUUUCUCCAGAUGUCAGGAGAGCAGGGGGCUGUGCUUUUCAAGAAGCAAUUAGGGAAGCUGAUCAUCCCCUUUCGUGAGGUGAGAAAUACACAUUCUCAGAGAGUUCAAGUGACAAUAAUGGAUCUGGUCAGUCUUUCAGGUGGAAGAAAUGCAGCUGAGCUGAUCUUCCCAGACAGGAAGGCUUGGAAGUUGCAAUCAUGAUAGCGAUCCAUUUUUGUUGACCAAAGAAAAAAUGGAACUGGGUGCUGGCUACAGGUCGGUAACAUUGGUAUUUAGACAUCUCAGUAAAUAAGAGGCAACUGACCACAGUUGAGAGGUGAGCAUUUGAACUGCUCUUCCCAGAGAUUAGCUGUGCUACUGAUUAUAUUUGUGCAGAAUUGUUCAUUGCACUUUCUUGUCCUUUAGAAGUGCAGGAAGAAGAUUCAUGAAGUGGAUCAUUCCUGUGACGAGGUAAGACAUGCUCCAUCUCAUGGUAAUAAUCUAGAAGUCAGUGAUUCUGGGUACAUUUUCAGAUUCUUCAGCCAUUCAGAGGGGAAUACGACAAAAUCGAUGACUGCCAUUCUUGCGGAGAUGUAAGGAAAGCCCCCCAAACCUGAAAAUACCUUGUAAUAAUAAAGUAUCUUUCAAAUUCUGAUCAUUACAGCUGACUGGGCUUCAAGCUGUGGGAACAGUAGGAAGAUUUAUGCCAGGAAGAUAUACAAAAGGUAAUUGUUCCUGUUGAGAGGUAAGAAAUGCCUUGCAGCGUUCCUUUGGAAAUAAAUGGAUGAGACUAUACUUUCAGGUACCAGAAAUGCAGCUGAUCUUCCCUUUGGAGAGAAGAAAUCUACAAGCAGUUGACAAACUGCACAGCUCAGCAAACUUCUGAAAAGAAAUCAACUCAGUGACCGGAUGGGGAGUAAGGAGAAAUGGGACUUUCACCUGUAGUACAAUGAAGCUAGUGGUGGAUAUGAAGAGAAGGGUUCUAGGAUUAGCUGUUAGUGGAUGAGUAAUUGAGCUGUUUGUAAUUUUCCAGAUGAUAGUGGCCCAGCUGGCCAUGAAAAGUAAGAAAAUGCUCCUGUUUUUACACUCUGGGUGCUGAACUAUGCAGUUGGGUCUAACUCUGUCAGGUUAUGGAUCAGGGAAAACUGGCUGUUUUAACGGGGAAGCACUGUAGCUGUCUCUGUUAGUUAGGUUCACAGUGCAUCUGCUUCUGCUGUGAAUGGGGUUGAAACCCACCUGGCAAGAGAGACACAAAGGAGCUGGUUGUGAAUAGAGAGAGAGGAACUGGAAGGAGAAGUUAGUGCAGGGGACGAGGAAAGCAGUGUAAGAGGUUGUGUCUGUCCGGACUGAUCAGUGGAGCUGGUUGUGACUGUCACAGGUCAGCACUAUCUGGUUGUGUCUGUGUGUUAAUGAAGGGGCUGAUUGAUACCUGUCUAUGGAGGAAGAGCCUGUUGGACCCACCAAGGAUAAAGCCGUGCAGCUGGUCAGAGCAGCCAGUAGGGAAACGAUGCUGCUGCUGGCAGAACUGGUGAAGAAAUAGCAUUCACCUUGACAGGGCUGUUGGGGGAUUCAAAUUCGGAUCUGUUCACCUGCUGGGGAAGGAGAGCAGCUGGUUCUGUCUGCCAGGAUGGAAGCAAGGAAGUGAGUUGUACCUUCUCAGAGGAAAGCACUGGAGACUGGCAAAUAGUGGG